rnacentral:rRNA from 1 species
UAACGGUCCUAAGGUAGCGAAAUUCCUUGUCGGGUAAGUUCCGACCCGCACGAAAGGCGUAACGAUUUGGGCACUGUCUCAACGAGAGACUCGGUGAAAUCAUAGUACCUGUGAAGAUGCAGGUUACCCGCGACAGGACGGAAAGACCCCGUGGAGCUUUACUGUAGCCUGAUAUUGAAAUUCGGCACAGCUUGUACAGGAUAGGUAGGAGCCUUUGAAACGUGAGCGCUAGCUUACGUGGAGGCGCUGGUGGGAUACUACCCUAGCUGUGUUGGCUUUCUAACCCGCACCACUUAUCGUGGUGGGAGACAGUGUCAGGCGGGCAGUUUGACUGGGGCGGUCGCCUCCUAAAAGGUAACGGAGGCGCUCAAAGGUUCCCUCAGAAUGGUUGGAAAUCAUUCAUAGAGUGUAAAGGCAUAAGGGAGCUUGACUGCGAGACCUACAAGUCGAGCAGGGUCGAAAGACGGACUUAGUGAUCCGGUGGUUCCGCAUGGAAGGGCCAUCGCUCAACGGAUAAAAGCUACCCCGGGGAUAACAGGCUUAUCUCCCCCAAGAGUUCACAUCGACGGGGAGGUUUGGCACCUCGAUGUCGGCUCAUCGCAUCCUGGGGCUGUAGUCGGUCCCAAGGGUUGGGCUGUUCGCCCAUUAAAGCGGUACGCGAGCUGGGUUCAGAACGUCGUGAGACAGUUCGGUCCCUAUCCGUCGUGGGCGUAGGAAAUUUGAGAGGAGCUGUCCUUAGUACGAGAGGACCGGGAUGGACAUACCUCUGGUGUACCAGUUGUCGUGCCAACGGCAUAGCUGGGUAGCUAUGUGUGGACGGGAUAAGUGCUGAAAGCAUCUAAGCAUGAAGCCCCCCUCAAGAUGAGAUUUCCCAACUUCGGUUAUAAGAUCCCUCAAAGAUGAUGAGGUUAAUAGGUUCGAGGUGGAAGCAUGGUGACAUGUGGAGCUGACGAAUACUAAUCGAUCGAAGAC